rnacentral:ncRNA from 1 species
UUUAUAGCGGGAGAUGAUGUUCCUCCUUUAACCGCCUUAAUGACUUUCUUUAAGGAUAAUGACGUCUGACAACAU